ensembl:lncRNA
GUUACGUAAAGGUGCCCUGUCCAGCCCUGCCCGCCGUUGGGUGAGAGCCCGGGGCAGCCCCGCCCGGUCCGACGCCAUUACGGCUGUAGCAGAGGCGCUAAACCAUCUGGACAAUAAUUAACUGGAUGCUGGGUGAUGCAAUAUGGAGGGACUAACCAGUAGGCAGGAGAGAUGGAAUGAGUGCUGACUACUAAACCAGCCAUCUCAGUGAUGAGGCAAUAGAGAUUGUGUGCACGAGAACGGUAAGACUGUAUUGCCAGGAGCUGGCUGAUGCUACUGAAGUACCUGCCUGGCAGUAGUCUCACAGGCAAAAAAUCUUCC